rnacentral:rRNA from 1 species
GAUGAACGCUGGCGGCGUGCUUAACACAUGCAAGUCGAACGGGAAGGCCUGGCUUCAGUGGCGAACGGGUGAGGAACGCGUGAGAACCACCCGUGGGGAGGGGACCUAACACUGGGAAAAGUCUCUAAUACACCGUAGACUAAGGAGCAAAAGAGCAUAGCCUCCUGGGGAGGGGCUCGCGGCUUAUGAGCUUGUGGGUGGGUCAGUGGCUUUCCACGGCGGCGACGGGUAGCCGGUCAGAGAGGAGGAUCGGCGACACUGGUGCUGGGGUGCGGCCCAGACUCCUACGGGAGGCAGCAGUGGGGGAUAUUGCACAAUAGGCGGAGGCCUGAUGCAGCAGCGCCGCGUGGGGGAUGACGGCCUUCGGGUUGUAAUCCACUUUCGGUUGGGACGAAGAGAGAGUGACGGUACCUGAAGAAGAAGCACCGGCUAACUACGUG